rnacentral:pre_miRNA from 1 species
UUCGUACUCCCUCCGUCCAACAAAAGAUGUCUCAAGUUUGUCAAAAUUUGGAUGUAUCUAGACAUGACUUAGUGUAUAGAUGCAUUCAAAUUUGGUCAGACAUUGGACGGAAGGAGUAUGAU